AUUGAACGCUGGCGGAAUGCUUUACACAUGCAAGUCGAACGGUAGAGGGGGCAACCCCUCGAGAGUGGCGAACGGGUGAGUAAUAUAUCGGAACGUGCCCAGUCGUGGGGGAUAACGUAGCGAAAGUUACGCUAAUACCGCAUACGAUCUACGGAUGAAAGCGGGGGAUCGCAAGACCUCGCGCGAUUGGAGCGGCCGAUAUCAGAUUAGGUAGUUGGUGGGGUAAAGGCUCACCAAGCCAACGAUCUGUAGCUGGUCUGAGAGGACGACCAGCCACACUGGAACUGGGACACGGUCCAGACUCCUACGGGAGGCAGCAGUGGGGAAUUUUGGACAAUGGACGCAAGUCUGAUCCAGCCAUUCCGCGUGCAGGAUGAAGGCCCUCGGGUUGUAAACUGCUUUUGUACGGAACGAAAAGGUUUCCAUUAAUACUGGGAGCUCAUGGCGGUACCGUAAGAAUAAGCACCGGCUAACUACGUGCCAGCCGCCGCAGUAA
rnacentral:rRNA from 1 species